CUGCCGCUGCUGCAACUUUCUCCUGUAAUACCCUCUCUUUGUUAUCGAGCAGCUGAUCCGCUGACAUCACCCAGCGCCGGUGCGCUCCCUCCCUCGCUGAUUGACAGUUCCCUGUCCCUUUCCAGAAGUAAGGCUCCUUAAAACGAAAGGCGCUCCGGGGACCCUCCGUCUGGCGCGCCUCUUUCCCGCGCCUCCCGCCCUGUACGUGUGAUGUCCCCAGCUGUCUCUCUGUUUCUCCAAGUGCCAACCACUUCACAGAUUCAGGC
rnacentral:lncRNA from 1 species